rnacentral:rRNA from 1 species
GACGAACGCUGGCGGCGUGCCUAAUACAUGCAAGUUGAGCGAUGAAGAUUGGUGCUUGCACCAAUUUGAAGAGCAGCGAACGGGUGAGUAACGCGUGGGGAAUCUGCCUUUGAGUGGGGGACAACAUUUGGAAACGAAUGCUAAUACCGCAUAACAACUUUAAACAUAAGUUUUAAGUUUGAAAGAUGCAAUUGCAUCACUCAAAGAUGAUCCCGCGUUGUAUUAGCUAGUUGGUGAGGUAAAGGCUCACCAAGGCGAUGAUACAUAGCCGACCUGAGAGGGUGAUCGGCCACAGUGGGACUGAGACACGGCCCAAACUCCUACGGGAGGCAGCAGUAGGGAAUCUUCGGCAAUGGACGAAAGUCUGAACGAGCAACGCCGCGUGAGUGAAGAAGGUUUUCGGAUCGUAAAACUCUGUUGGUAGAGAAGAACGUUGGUGAGAGUGGAAAGCUCAUCAAGUGACGGUAACUACCCAGAAAGGGACGGCUAACUACGUG